GACGAACGCUGGCGGCGUGGAUUAGGCAUGCAAGUCGAACGGUAUCAUCCUUUCGGGGGUGAGAGAGUGGCGAACUGGUGAGUAACACGUAGGUUAUCUACCCUCAAGACGGGGACAACCCAGGGAAACUUGGGCUAAUACCGGAUGUGAGCAACUUUUAGUUGUUUGAAAGGUGGCGUAAGCUGUCGCUUGGGGAUGAGCCUGCGUCCUAUUAGUUAGUUGGUGAGGUAACGGCUCACCUAGGCAAUGAUAGGUAGGCGGCCUUAACGGGUGGUCGCCCACACUGGGAUUGAGAUACGGCCCAGACUCCUACGGGAGGCAGCAGUCGAGAAUAGUCUACAAUGGUCGGAAGACUGAUAGUGCGACGCCGCGUGAACGAUGAAUCCCUUCGGGGUGUAAAGUUCUUUUAUAUGUGAGCAGUGCUUCUUAUAUUUAACAGUAUGGGGAGAGAGAUAUUAGCAUAUGAAUAAGCAACGGCUAACUCCGUGCCAGCAGCCGCGGUAAUA
rnacentral:rRNA from 1 species